ACGACUUUCUCUCCUAUAAUUCUCGAGUUCUUCGUCUGCAUCAUCUUUUCAUCUUCUUCAAUAGCAAAUCGUCGUCUUUGCAUGUCAUCGGAGCAGGAGGACCAGAUCCACCAACAUAGCAAAUCAAGUUUUCCACCUUGUAGAUCUUCUCAUCCGAUGGCCAGAUCCCAA